CAGCAGCCGCGGGAAUACGAAGGGGGCUAGCGUUGUUCGGAUUUACUGGGCGUAAAGCGCACGUAGGCGGAUAUUUAAGUCAGGGGUGAAAUCCUGGAGCUCAACUCCAGAACUGCCUUUGAUACUGAAGAUCUUGAGUUCGGGAGAGGUGAGUGGAACUGCGAGUGUAGAGGUGAAAUUCGUAGAUAUUCGCAAGAACACCAGUGGCGAAGGCGGCUCACUGGCCCGAUACUGACGCCGAGGCACGAAAGCGUGGGGAGCAAACAGGAUUAGAUACCCUGUAGUCCCUGUCUCUUAUACA
rnacentral:rRNA from 1 species